rnacentral:lncRNA from 1 species
UAUCCCACUAUUUAAGAUAAACUCAUACCCUGUUAUUGACUUGCUAUCAUUCGAAUCAGAUUAAAAAUUAAAAUCUGUAUAUCCCUCUAGUUUCAACUCUGGUCCUCCAUAUAUGAAAAAAAUAUCUUUAGUCCUUCUUUUAGGUACUUCAGAAUAUUUUUCACAGCUUUCUAGUGAUUCUCUCCUAGAUCAGCCUGAAAUCUGCUAGC